rnacentral:rRNA from 1 species
UGGAAGUAAAAAAUCGUAACAAGGUCUCCGUUGGUGAACCAGCGGAGGGAUCAUUACUGAGUUUACGCUCUAUAACCCUUUGUGAACAUACCUAUAACUGUUGCUUCGGCGGGUAGGGUCUCCGCGACCCUCCCGGCCUCCCGCCUCCGGGCGGGUCGGCGCCCGCCGGAGGAUAACCAAACUCUGAUUUAACGACGUUUCUUCUGAGUGGUACAAGCAAAUAAUCAAAACUUUUAACAACGGAUCUCUUGGUUCUGGCAUCGAUGAAGAACGCAGCGAAAUGCGAUAAGUAAUGUGAAUUGCAGAAUUCAGUGAAUCAUCGAAUCUUUGAACGCACAUUGCGCCCGCCAGCAUUCUGGCGGGCAUGCCUGUUCGAGCGUCAUUUCAACCCUCAAGCUCUGCUUGGUGUUGGGGCCCUACAGCUGAUGUAGGCCCUCAAAGGUAGUGGCGGACCCUCCCGGAGCCUCCUUUGCGUAGUAACUUUACGUCUCGCACUGGGAUCCGGAGGGACUCUUGCCGUAAAACCCCCCAAUUUCCAAAGGUGACCUCGGAUCAGGUAGC